UACGGAGGGUGCAAGCGUUAAUCGGAAUUACUGGGCGUAAAGCGCGCGUAGGCGGCUUGGUCAGUUGGGUGUGAAAGCCCCGGGCUCAACCUGGGAACUGCAUUCAAUACUGCCAAGCUAGAGUAUGAGAGAGGGAGGUAGAAUUCCACGUGUAGCGGUGAAAUGCGUAGAUAUGUGGAGGAAUACCGGUGGCGAAGGCGGCCUCCUGGCUUAAUACUGACGCUGAGGUGCGAAAGCGUGGGGAUCAAACAGG
rnacentral:rRNA from 1 species